GCUGCUUUAGUUGCCUUGCAAGAGAACGUUGGAAAGCUUGAGGAUGAUCACAAGAAAGCCAAGACACUAGCAGAGGGACUGAAUCAAAUUAAAGGACUAAGAGUGGAUGUCGCUGCGGUAGAAACCAACAUUAUAUAUUUGGACAUACUAGAUGACUCAAAAUUUACAGCAGAAAAUCUAAGCAAGAGCUUGGAACAACAUGGUGUACUUGUGAUGUUAGAGGGCCCAUUCAGCAUUAGGAUUGUUCUUCACCACCAAAUUUCAGCAAGUGAUGUGCAGUACACUUUAUCAUGCUUUCAGCAAGCUUUAACAGGGGUGCAAGAUGAAAAUGGC
rnacentral:misc_RNA from 1 species